rnacentral:rRNA from 1 species
CCAGAGAACUUAGCAGAGAUGCUUUGGUGCCUUCGGGAACUCUGAGACAGGUGCUGCAUGGCUGUCGUCGGCUCGUGUUGUGAAAUGUUGGGUUAAGUCCCGCAACGAGCGCAACCCUUAUCCUUUGUUGCCAGCGGUCCGGCCGGGAAACUCAAAGGAGACUGCCAGUGAUAAACUGGAGGAAGGUGGGGAUGACGUCAAGUCAUCAUGGCCCUUACGAGUAGGGCUACACACGUGCUACAAUGGCGCAUACAAAGAGAAGCGACCUCGCGAGAGCAAGCGGACCUCAUAAAGUGCGUCGUAGUCCGGAUUGGAGUCUGCAACUCGACUCCAUGAAGUCGGAAUCGCUAGUAAUCGUGGAUCAGAAUGCCACGGUGAAUACGUUCCCGGGCCUUGUACACACCGCCCGUCACACCAUGGGAGUGGGUUGCAAAAGAAGUAGGUAGCUUAACCUUCGGGAGGGCGCUUACCACUUUGUGAUUCAUGACUGGGGUGAAGUCGUAACAAGGUAAGCGUAGUGCU